GCCUCAUUUGAUCAGGGGAAGGGCGUCUAUCUAGUAAUCAGAAGGUCUCUGGUUCGAUUCCAGCAUGAGGCA
rfam:Dictyocaulus viviparus strain HannoverDv2000 D_viviparus-1.0_Cont1012.4, whole genome shotgun sequence.